rnacentral:rRNA from 1 species
CCUACGGGAGGCAGCAGUGAGGAAUAUUGGGCAAUGGAGGCAACUCUGACCCAGCCAUGCCGCGUGCAGGAAGACUGCCCUAUGGGUUGUAAACUGCUUUUAUACAGGAAGAAACACACCUACGUGUAGGUGCUUGCGGUACUGUAAGAAUAAGCACCGGCUAACUCCGUGCCAGCAGCCGCGGUAAU